rnacentral:lncRNA from 10 species
GCAUUUGUGGUCUCCUCUCUUGGCUUUGGAGCCCCCCUCCCUCUGUCUCUGUACGGGGGUGCCUUCUUCUUUUCUUCUUCUCCCUUCUUUCUUGCCUAUUAAACUCUCCACUUCUUAAUACCA